rnacentral:rRNA from 1 species
UGACUNGAGUGCAGAAGGGGAGAGUGGAGUUCCAUGUGUAGCGGUGAAAUGCGUAGAUAUAUGGAGGAACACCAGUGGCGAAAGCGGCUCUCUGGUCUGUCACUGACGCUGAGGCUCGAAAGCGUGGGUAGCGAACAGGAUUAGAUACCCUGGUAGUNCACGCCGUAAACGAUGAGUGCUAGGUGUUAGGCCCUUUCCGGGGCUUAGUGCCGGAGCUAACGCAAUAAGCACUCCGCCUGGGGAGUACGACCGCAAGGUUGAAACUCAAAGGAAUUGACGGGGGCCCGCACAAGCGGUGGAGCAUGUGGUUUAAUUCGAAGCAACGCGAAGAACCUUACCAGGUCUUGACAUCCCGAUGCUAUUCUUAGAGAUAGGAAGUUACUUCGGUACAUCGGAGACAGGUGGUGCAUGGUUGUCGUCAGCUCGUGUCGUGAGAUGUUGGGUUAAGUCCCGCAACGAGCGCAACCCUUAUUGUUAGUUGCCAUCAUUAAGUUGGGCACUCUAGCGAGACUGCCGGUAAUAAACCGGAGGAAGGUGGGGAUGACGUCAAAUCAUCAUGCCCCUUAUGACCUGGGCUACACACGUGCUACAAUGGUCGGUACAACGAGUUGCGAGCCGGUGACGGCAAGCUAAUCUCUGAAAGCCGAUCUCAGUUCGGAUUGGAGGCUGCAACUCGCCUCCAUGAAGUCGGAAUCGCUAGUAAUCGCGGAUCAGCACGCCGCGGUGAAUACGUUCCCGGGCCUUGUACACACCGCCCGUCACACCACGAGAGUUUGUAACACCCGAAGU